GUAAAUGGCCAAUUUACAAUUAAUAUAAAGUUAAUAAAUUAAACUUAAAUGGCCAAUGUGGUGAAUGGCUACCGUAUUGGACAGCCCAGCCCUAGAAAGUCACAAGACAAUUAGGGAGCUUGUUAGACAAUGUUUUGAAUCAUUUUCAUGUUUUGAAUAAUUUUUUCUUAACUCUGACAGUAUAUUAUGUGUUUAUUUGCUUGUUUAUUGUCUUUUGUUCCUAAUAGAAAGUAAGUUUUGUGAUCGAAGGGACGGCUUUGUUUUCUACAUGUCCUAGCACUUAGGAGGGGUGCCUUGAGCACAGCAGGUGCACAAUCAAUAAUUGUUGAAUGAAUAAAUAAACACAAAGUGGCUGGAAUCUUAUCAGAAGCCAAAGCAAUAAGAGACUCCCCAUGGACAAGAACUUGGGACCUGCUGAGUGGCAGGGCUGAAAGAACUGUAACACAGACAGGACUGAAACAUGUCCUUUGCUUGCCACAUUGCGGAAGAUGAGAGGGAGAGAAGAGAGAAGGAGAGAAGAGUUUCAGCCCUUUGGGGAUCCCAGACCUACGAGCUCCUUGAGCCAGGGCUGUGACACCCUUUUUGGAGUUCUGCAGUUCUUGGAGUCUCCAAGCUUCCAGGC
rnacentral:lncRNA from 10 species